rnacentral:tRNA from 1 species
AUAGAUACAGCUCACUAGCACAGUACCUGUCUGGUAAGCAGGAGGUCCUGAGUUCAAUUCCCAGUACCAAAA